rnacentral:rRNA from 1 species
UACGUAGGGUGCAAGCGUUGUCCGGAAUUAUUGGGCGUAAAGAGCUCGUAGGCGGUUUGUCGCGUCUGCUGUGAAAACCCGAGGCUCAACCUCGGGCCUGCAGUGGGUACGGGCAGACUAGAGUGUGGUAGGGGGAGACUGGAAUUCCUGGUGUAGCGGUGGAAUGCGCAGAUAUCAGGAGGAACACCGGUGGGCGAAGGCGGGUCUCUGGGCAGUAACUGACGCUGGAGGAGCGAAAGCCGUGGGGGAGCGAACAG